GAUAGGACUAUGAUAAAAAGUAGUAAAAAGUGAAAAUCUUCAGAGAGAAGACGGUUGGUGAGAGUCUUAGGUGGCAGCUUUUGAAUCCGUUUUUGAGUCCAGACUUUAAAGUGAAUGCAAUUUGCAUUAAUUAGGGUGGCAACGCGGAAGACUUCGUCCCUUGG
rnacentral:ncRNA from 1 species